AGGGUAACCAACCAUCUUAGUUUGCCUGGGACUGAGAGGGGUUUGCCAGGAUGCAGAACUUUUAGUGCUGAAAUCAGGACAGUC
rnacentral:miRNA from 1 species